rnacentral:rRNA from 1 species
UACGGGGGGAGCAAGCGUUGUUCGGAUUUACUGGGCGUAAAGGGCGCGUAGGCGGCCACCGCAGGUCAGUUGUGAAAUCUCUGGGCUUAACCCAGAACGGUCAGCUGAUACUGCGGGGCUAGAGUGCAGAAGGGGCAACUGGAAUUCUCGGUGUAGCGGUGAAAUGCGUAGAUAUCGAGAGGAACACCUGCGGCGAAGGCGGGUUGCUGGGCUGACACUGACGCUGACAGCGCGAAAGCCAGGGGAGCAAACGGG